rnacentral:rRNA from 1 species
UACGACUACAUAUCAGGCAUAUCAAUAAGCGGAGGAAAAGGAACUAACAAGGAUUCCCCUAGUAACGGCGAGUGAAGCGGGAAGAGCUCAAAUUUGAAAUCUUAAAGGGUUUCCCUUUACGAAUUGUAGUUUAAAGAAGUGUUUUCUGUUAGAGGAGUCGGUAAAAGUUCUUUGGAAUAGGACAUCAUAGAGGGUGAGAAUCCCGUAUUUGACCGAUUACUUUCUAGCUGUGUGAUACACUUUCAAAGAGUCGGAUUGUUUGGGAAUGCAGUCCAAGAUGGGUGGUAAAUUUCAUCUAAAGCUAAAUAUUGGCGAGAGACCGAUAGCGAACAAGUACCGUGAGGGAAAGAUGAAAAGAACUUUGAAAAGAGAGUUAAACAGUACGUGAAAUUGUCAAAAGGGAAGCGUUUGACACCAGUGUUGUUUUAGUUCGAAAAUCAAUUAAUAGUGGCUUGAUUUGUAGUUAGUAUUGACCUUUAUCAGCUUGCUUCACUCUUUUUCGAGUCUUUCUUGAAUGCACUUUUCAGGUUAACAAGUCAACAUCAAUUUCUUUUGUUGUAAGAGGGUAUUUGGAAGGUGGCUUUCUUUUCGGAGAAAGUGUUUAUAGCCUUAUACCUCUACAAUCGGAGAGAUUGAGGUCUGCAGCGUAGAUCCUUCGGGGCUAGAUACACUUGUGCUAAGUUAUAGCUUUUCAUAGACAACUUGUUGACUAUGUUUAGUCAUGUAGCUUACUCGCAUUGAUGCUAUUUUACCUACGCUUAGGAUGUUGAUCUACAGAGCGAGAGU